CAAAAGCAGAAGGAUUUGCAGCUAUAAUAUACAACUAUGUAUUGUGGGCCUUUGGGGAGAAGAAAAAAAAGAAGAUUGGUAACAGAUGUUAGCUCAGGUGCCAAUCUUUAAAACAAAACAAAAGAAAAGAAACCCUGUGCCCAUUCAACAGUAACCCCCCAUUACUUUUUUUCCCCAGACUCUGAAAAUCACUAUUUGCAUUAGGGUUCUCCAAAGAAACAGAACCAACAGAAAAGAGAUUUAUUAUCAGGAAUUGAUUCACAUGAUUAUGGAGACUGAGAAGUCCCAAGAUCUGCAGUCAGCAAGCUGGACUCAGGAGAGCCAAUGGUUAGUUCCGGUGUGAGUCCGAAGGCCUGAGAAGCAGGAGAUCGGAUGGUGAAAAUGCCUACAUGGGGUAGAUUAAGUGAAAGAAACGUGGCAGCAUCUUUCAGCUAUGAUAAACUGAAUAGGCAUAUUCCUAACCUGCUCCUAGACAACUAGGGGCAGCAGAAGUCAGCAAAGAGUUCAGAGAUGCAGCUGGAAGCAUGAAGUGAUAAGAUGGUCCUUUAGUCCCAUAACUCUGUGCAAACUGUUAUUUUGUUGAGUCUUGCUGCUGGAUGCCAACAUCAAGGCAGAACGCACGGAAUUUCUUCACAAAGAUGUGAUUGCAGCAAAAGCAAGGUAAUCGAUACGU